rnacentral:rRNA from 1 species
AGUGAACGCUGGCGGUAGGCCUAACACAUGCAAGUCGAACGGCAGCACAGUAAGAGCUUGCUCUUACGGGUGGCGAGUGGCGGACGGGUGAGGAAUACAUCGGAAUCUACUUUUUCGUGGGGGAUAACGUAGGGAAACUUACGCUAAUACCGCAUACGACCUACGGGUGAAAGCAGGGGAUCUUCGGACCUUGCGCGAUUGAAUGAGCCGAUGUCGGAUUAGCUAGUUGGCGGGGUAAAGGCCCACCAAGGCGACGAUCCGUAGCUGGUCUGAGAGGAUGAUCAGCCACACGGGAACUGAGACACGGUCCAGACUCCUACGGGAGGCAGCAGUGGGGAAUAUUGGACAAUGGGCGCAAGCCUGAUCCAGCCAUACCGCGUGGGUGAAGAAGGCCUUCGGGUUGUAAAGCCCUUUUGUUGGGAAAGAAAAGCAGCAGGUUAAUACCCCGCUGUUCUGACGGUACCCAAAGAAUAAGCACCGGCUAACUUCGU